UGCCAGCAGCCGCGGUAAUACGGAGGGUGCGAGCGUUAAUCGGAAUUACUGGGCGUAAAGAGUGCGUAGGCGGUCCUUCAGGUGGGGUGUGAAAGCCCACGGCUCAACCGUGGAAAUGCGCUCCAAACCGUAGGACUUGAGGGAGACAGGGGUGAGCGGAACUGAUGGUGGAGCGGUGAAAUGCGUUGAUAUCAUCAGGAACACCAGUGGCGAAGGCGGCUCACUGGGUCUCUUCUGACGCUGAGGCACGAAAGCUAGGGUAGCGAACGGGAUUAGAUA
rnacentral:rRNA from 1 species